rnacentral:rRNA from 1 species
AUUGAACGCUGGCGGCAGGCCUAACACAUGCAAGUCGAACGAGUGGCGGACGGGUGAGUAAUGUCUGGGAAACUGCCUGAUGGAGGGGGAUAACUACUGGAAACGGUAGCUAAUACCGCAUACCAUCGGAUGUGCCCAGAUGGGAUUAGCUAGUAGGUGGGGUAAAGGCUCACCUAGGCGACGAUCCCUAGCUGGUCUGAGAGGAUGACCAGCCACACUGGAACUGGGACACGGUCCAGACGCGUACGGGAGGCAGCAGUGGGGAAGAGUGCACAAUGGGCGCAAGCCUGAUGCAGCCGUGCGGCGUGUAUGAAGAAGGCCUUCGGGUUGUAAAGGACUUUCAGCGGGGAGGAGGUACCCGCAGAAGAAGCACCGGCUAAUGCCGUGCCAGCCGCCGCGGUAAUUC